ACCAGCCCAACUCCAGGAGAGUCCGGGCUGAGCUGAGAUGGGCUGGGAUGGGCAAUCCAGGGAUUCCAGGGAGCUCGGAAUCGCAGCUGCUGCCGGAACCGCGGCCUUAGGUCCGCUCCUUCUGCGUCUGUGCCCAGUGGGAUUUGUGCUGGAGAGAGAGGUGCUGUCGGGAACAAAAGGGAGAAGAACACCAACUCAGAGCCACUCAGGCCUGGCAGUCCCUGCAGCGAGAGCUCAGCACUCAUCCACAGAGGCAAGUCCAGCAUCUGAAAGAAGAAAAAUAAACAGAAGAAAAAGGUAAAUUCUUUUACUUCAAAGUUGUUUCAAGUUCUUAAAGCCCAAGCAACAUUUGUUCUGGAUUUUGUGUGGGUGAAUCACGAGCGCUGGGCAAGGGUCAUGCCGUUCAUUUAGCUGUCACAAUCUGGGGUUCUGCCUGCUAAAAUUCAGAAUGCAUCAGGAUAUCUCCCAGAUCCAAGCUGCCACCAUUUACAACCCUGGCUGUCUUUGGAGUGACAAAUGCCUCCUCCAAAUUUCUAUGUAUAUACUGGGGGAGUUGAGUUUUGUUUCACAAUGAAAUAGGUCACACUCUGUGUCCUAGGAGCGGGCUUCGGCUCGCUAAAAUUCCAAACGGAUUAGGAUUUCUUCCACACCCACGCUGCCACCACUAAGAACUAUGACUACCUUUGGAAUGACAGACCAUUAGGUCUGCUGUUAGGAAACUGGAAAGUCAAGGUUUUUUUCUAAGGGAAAAAAGGGCCAAUGUUCUCGCCCACGACCCCGUGCCUAGGACCGAGCUUCUGCCCGCCGGAGUUCUGAACGGAUCAGGAUUUCUCCCAGAUGCAAGCUGCCACCACUUAGAACCCUGACUGCCUUUGGAGUGCAAAAUGCCUCAUUUAAACUACUGUCAGGAAACUGGGCUGGUGACUUUUCUUUUAGAGUAAAUUUGGCUACCUUUUGUAUCCAGCAUCCCGGGCCUUAGACCGGGCUUCCGCCUGCUACAAGUCCAAACGGAUCGGGAUUUCUCCCAGACCCAACCUGCCAGCACUUAGAAUUCUGACUGCCUUUGGAGUGCCAAAUACCUCAUUCAAAAUGAUAUCAGGACACCGGAAGGGUGAAUUUUCAUUCACAGGGAAAGAGGCCACCUUUUGCGUCUAGGGCCCCGUCACGGCGACUGUGCUCUACCCGCUGUAAUUUCAAACGGAUCGGGAUUUAUCGCGGCUUAAAGCAGGCUCCAUAUAAAGUCCUGACUGCCUUUGCAGUGCAAAAUGCCUCUUCUAAACUGCGAUUAUGCUUCUGGGAGGGGGAGUUUUGGUUUAGAGGGCAAAGCGCCAAUGUUCUCGUCCGGGGCCCUGUUCCUGCGACCCGGCUUCCAUCUGCUACAACGCCAGACAGAUCAGGAUUUCUCCCAGACACAAGCUGCUAGCACUUAGAACCCCGGCUGCCUUGGCAGUGCAAAACAGCUCCUCCCUACUGAUGUCACAGAACUGGAAUUUCCUCAUCUCAAAUUCAAGUCUGAGGAGCCAAACAGCCACCAUUAUUCUGAAGCCUUUUAUACCUUGUGGGAUUUGCUCCUCCUUUUCCUGCAAACCAGGGGUGGUCCCAAUCAGGGGUCUAUUUUGUGAUGAUGGCAUCAGACUGAGUGCAGCUGAAGUGAGUGAGGUGAGCCCCUGGGCAUUCCUGGGAGAUGGUGACUAAGGGACAACAGCUCACUGAUGGCAGGAAUUUCCCAGAUGGUGAAGCUUUUUUUACUCCACACCUGGCCUGGAUUCUCAUACCUGGAUCUCUGACAGAUAAGUGCUGGGCUCCAACCCACAGAGGGGAUGGGAGUGGAUGCUGUGUCUGGAAUUGUCAGGAGGGAUUUUUGAGGCAGCUUUGGAGCUGGGGAUGGCCAAGAAGCAGUCCCUCAGGCCCCAUAAGGGGAAGAGUCUCAAUUUGAUCUCAAUGCUGAUUUGCACAGGGCAGAGCAGUUCCUCUGGGUGUCAUGUCACUUGUCUCUUGUGCUGUGUGUGUCUUCUGUGUGUGUUGUAUGUCUCUUACCUUUAGCCCUUUGAGGGGCCUAUCAGAAACCCUGAGGUCAUCCAUAGCAUCUUGUGAUCUCUGCAUUCCUCAGCCUGGCUCUGGUGCCAUCAAACCUUGGUCUCAGGAGCUUGGACAGGCAUCUGACUCUCUUCUCUUUUGGAAAGCAUCCAGUCUGAUGUCUUCUUCUGAGCUGUGCACCUGAAGGAUUCAUUUUGUCAUAUUGGGACUUGGAAGAAUGGAAGAUAAGAAGAGGAUUCUCAGGCAUCCAUCUCUGCAGUUCUUGAAGCAAAUCAUUCUGCUAGCAUCUUUUCCAGCCUUGUCAGCUUGCUCUCAGUCUUCCCUCAGUCAUCUCAUUUUGCAUUCCCUCAGUCCUUGUGGUCCUUCCUCUUGCUGAGAUAUUUUUUUCCCUCUCUUGUCAUCCCCUUAUUUGUCACAUCUUGUGUCACGGGUGCCUGCAUGCAUUUGGGUCGGAGCUGCUCUGCCCUGCUGUGUAGUCUGGGCAUAGGUGUGCUAGGACCAGUCCUGGGGACUUGCUUUUUGUAAUGUGGGGUGGUGUUGGACCCUAGAUGAAAUCUGGACGUAUAAAGUUAUCCUGCAGCACAUUUGACUUCUGUCCUAUCUUCCUUUCAGAUGCAGAUGGAUCAAAUCUGAGGCUGUGGGCCCAUCCUAGGAAAUGAAGCAGGAUAUCCACUGUCAAGGGGAAGCAGGCCAGGCAGUGUCCUUGAACUACCCUGAGAUGGCUCUGCCCAGCUGGCCCAGAGACCCAGUUCACUGCUCCUGUGAGCCCUCCAGGAGUAUUCCAGGAGUCUGAUGAAGCCUUCACCUUCUGCAAUUUGAAGAUGCCAGCUGGGUGGUCUUUGGCAAGAGCUGAGCAGUUGAGGCCUACCCUGCCAGGACAGUCUCAGCCUCUGAGUGCAGCUGAAGUGAGUGAGUGAGCCCCUGGGCAUGCUUGGGAGAUGGUGAGUAGUGAAAUUAU